ACCCUACGGGAGGCAGCAGUGAGGAAUAUUGGUCAAUGGGCGCGAGCCUGAACCAGCCAAGUCGCGUGAGGGAAGACUGCCCUAUGGGUUGUAAACCUCUUUUAUAAAGGAAUAAAGUGAGGCACGUGUGCCUUUUUGUAUGUACUUUAUGAAUAAGGAUCGGCUAACUCCUUGCCAGCAGCCGCGGUAAUACGGAGGAUCCGAGCGUUAUCCGGAUUUAUUGGGUUUAAAGGGAGCGUAGAUGGGUUGUUAAGUCAGUUGUGAAAGUUUGCGGCUCAACCGUAAAAUUGUAAUUGAUACUGGAA
rnacentral:rRNA from 1 species